UGGGGAAUAUUGCACAAUGGGCGCAAGCCUGAUGCAGCGACGCCGCGUGAGGGAUGACGGCCUUCGGGUUGUAAACCUCUUUCAGCAGGGAAGAAGCGAGAGUGACGGUACCUGCAGAAGAAGCGCCGGCUAACUACGUGCCAGCAGCCGCGGUAAUACGUAGGGCGCAAGCGUUGUCCGGAAUUAUUGGGCGUAAAGAGCUCGUAGGCGGCUUGUCGCGUCGGUUGUGAAAGCCCGGGGCUUAACCCCGGGUCUGCAGUCGAUACGGGCAGGCUAGAGUUCGGUAGGGGAGAUCGGAAUUCCUGGUGUAGCGGUGAAAUGCGCAGAUAUCAGGAGGAACACCGGUGGCGAAGGCGGAUCUCUGGGCCGAUACUGACGCUGAGGAGCGAAAGCGUGGGGAGCGAACAGGAUUAGAUACCCUGGUAGUCCACGCCGUAAACGGUGGGCACUAGGUGUGGGCAACAUUCCACGUUGUCCGUGCCGCAGCUAACGCAUUAA
rnacentral:rRNA from 1 species